rnacentral:tRNA from 1 species
UCCCUGGUGGUCCAGUGGUUAAGACACUGCCCUUCCAUCACAGGGGACACAGGUUCAACCCCUGGUUGGGGAA